rnacentral:tRNA from 1 species
GUAGAGAUGGAUUAGUGGUUAAGAGCACUGAUAGCUUUUCCAGAGGACCUGGGUUCAAACCCCAGUAUCUACA